rnacentral:rRNA from 1 species
CCUACGGGUGGCAGCAGUGGGGAAUAUUGGGCAAUGGGCGCAAGCCUGACCCAGCAACGCCGCGUGAAGGAAGAAGGCUUUCGGGUUGUAAACUUCUUUUAUGAGGGAAGAGCAGAAGACGGUACCUCUUGUAUAAGCCACGGCUAACUACGUGCCAGCAGCCGCGGGAAUACGGAGGUGGCAAGCGUUGUUCGGAUUUACUGGGGGUAAAGGGCGUGCAGCCGGGAAGACAAGUCAGAUGUGAAAUCCCGCGGCUCAACCGCGGAACUGCAUUUGAAACUGUUGUUCUUGAGUACCGGAGAGGACAUCGGAAUUCCUUGUGUAGCGGUGAAAUGCGUAGAUAUAAGGAAGAACACCAGUGGCGAAGGCGGAUGACUGGACGGCAACUGACGGUGAGGCGCGAAAGCGUGGGGAGCAAACAGGAUUAGAUACCCCAGUAGUC